GUGGGGAAUCUUAGACAAUGGGCGCAAGCCUGAUCUAGCCAUGCCGCGUGAGUGAUGAAGGCCCUAGGGUUGUAAAGCUCUUUCAGCUGGGAAGAUAAUGACGGUACCAGCAGAAGAAGCCCCGGCUAACUCCGUGCCAGCAGCCGCGGUAAUACGGAGGGGGCUAGCGUUGUUCGGAAUUACUGGGCGUAAAGCGCGCGUAGGCGGACUGAAAAGUUAGGGGUGAAAUCCCGGGGCUCAACCUCGGAACUGCCUUCAAAACUAUCAGUCUGGAGUUCGAGAGAGGUGAGUGGAAUUCCGAGUGUAGAGGUGAAAUUCGUAGAUAUUCGGAGGAACACCAGUGGCGAAGGCGGCUCACUGGCUCGAUACUGACGCUGAGGUGCGAAAGCGUGGGGAGCAAACAGGAUUAGAAACCCGGGUAGUCC
rnacentral:rRNA from 1 species